GGUCAAGCUACAAAGGGCGCAUGGUGAAUGCCUUGGCAUCAGGAGCCGAUGAAGGACGCGAUAAGCUGCGAUAAGCUUCGGGUAGACGCACAUAGUCAGAGAUCCGAAGAUUUCCGAAUGAGGAAACUCACAUGGGAAACCCCAUGUAUCAUAAAGUGAAUACAUAGCUUUAUGAAGGUAAACCCAGGGAACUGAAACAUCUAAGUACCUGGAGGAAGAGAAAGAAAAAUCGAUUUUCUUAGUAGCGGCGAGCGAAAAGGAAAGAGCCCAAACCAGAGAUUUAUCUCUGGGGUUGCGGACAGAACAUAACGAGAAAUCAUAGUUAACCGAACACAACUGGAAAGUUGGACCGCAGGGGGUAAUAGUCCCGUAAGUGAAAAUUAUGAUAAUCAGUUCUGCACCAGAGUACCACGAGACACGUGAAACCUUGUGGGAAGCAGGGAGGACCACCUCCCAAGGCUAAAUACUACCUGAUGACCGAUAGUGAAGCAGUACCGUGAGGGAAAGGUGAAAAGAACCCCGGGAGGGGAGUGAAAUAGAACCUGAAACCAUGUGCCUACAACCGAUCAAAGCACCUUAUGUGUGUGAUGAUGUGCUUUUUGUAGAACGAGCCAACGAGUUACGGUAUGUAGCGAGGUUAAGUACUUAAGGUACGGAGCCGAAGGGAAACCGAGUCUUAAUAGGGCGACUAGUUUGCAUGCUGUAGACCCGAAACCGGGUGACCUAUCCAUGGCCAGGUUGAAGCGAGGGUAAAACCUCGUGGAGGACCGAACCACGUUGCUGUUGAAAAAGCAUGGGAUGAGCUGUGGAUAGCGGAGAAAUUCCAAUCGAACUCGGAUAUAGCUGGUUCUCCUCGAAAUAGCUUUAGGGCUAGCGUCGGAAAAUGUGAGUAGUGG
rnacentral:rRNA from 1 species